rnacentral:hammerhead_ribozyme from 1 species
GUACUGCUGAAGAGUCCCACAAUAGAACGAAACGACGGUCUAGUGC